AUGAAAAAAAAAAUAAUAAUAAAGCAAGUUUUUAAAAAAUAAAGCCAGCACGUGAGAACUGAGAAGUGAGAAAGAGAAAUGUACAGAAAAGAACCAAAAUUAAGAGGAAAAAUGGUUGAAUGAAAAGUCGCAGAAUAACCAUACAAACAUGUGCGGUCAGCCACUCUUUAAGUUUCUUCAAUUGAAAAGAUGCAUAGCAUGAAAUAAGCCUCAAGGCAGCAAGAAAUAAGGCAAGUGCAACCUUCAGUUGCAAAGGCGAAAAGGCCCCAUAUAGCCAAUUUCUAAAUGUUGAUCCCAUAUAUUUCCAUGAAUUAUCAGCCUUGUGCACAAUAACAGUGAACAAAUGACUACUGACACAAGGUGACACAGGUCCAAGUCACAACACACAAAGAACCAGUUCUCUAAAAACAAAAUUUAUUGUCAAUGCCUAUUUUCAUCUUCACAAACCCUACAUUUCCAAUCUACUGAUCCAUGACCCAUCAAUAAGCAAACAAAAGUGUUGUUAUCUGCUGUCUUUGGUCUACAACGUUUGCAUCAG
rnacentral:misc_RNA from 1 species